GGUCGCUUAUUGUAGAAGCUCGGAUGAAGACCGAUUAUCUUGGAAGCUCGAAUGAAGACUUCUUAUUGUAGAAGCUCGAAUGAAGUCCGCUUGCAAUAGAAGUCCAGAGUAGAGAUCUGACUGGUGGAGCCCAUCCGUUGUAGAAAUUCAUUUGGAAUCCAUCCGCUAUAGAAGUUUGACUGGGAUCCGGCUCUUGUAGGAGCUCGGAUGAAAUCCGAAAGGCAGUCGACCGUUGUAGAAACUUGGAUGGAGUCUGGUUACUAUAGAAGUCCUGCUGUUGGAGAAGCUCGGAUAUUAAUGAAGUCUGAAAGAAGUUCAGAGUAAAGUCAUUCGUGGCAGGAAGAAGUCUGGAAGAGAUUCAGAGGGUAGCCGAUCACUGUAGAAAGUCGGCUGAUAAUGAAGCCCGAAGAGCAUUUAGAGCAAUCCGGUAUAUGAAUGGGGGGGCUCAUUAUUGGAGAAGUCUGAAUGAUAUUAUGGAAGCUCAGACAGUCGGGGGAGUUCAGAAAGAUACCGCAUAAGGUCGGAAGCCAGAAGAGCCCUGAGAGGGUUGGCCUUUCACGAACUUCGGCUAGGGAUAUUUUAUACCCAA
rnacentral:lncRNA from 1 species